UCAGGUUCAGGUUUUGUAACCUAAUUGAGAUUCACAAAUAGGAGUAUGUGCGAUCUAUAGAACUACAGCGGCAGAACUCCGGAUCAAUGGCAGCCCUCGGAGCAUGGUCAUGAUCUGUCGAAACGCGUGGGCGCGGAUGCGCGGAACCUGUGAUCGGACGACGUACGCGGCCACCUCGGAUUCCCCGUCGCCUCCAGCGGCGCCACCAAGAUCCACCGACGGUAACCCAGCCCGACUCACUCCCCCUUUCUCUCCUCCGAUUUGGUAAGAGCUGGAAGUCUCUGUGUUAAAUCUCGGUCGUGCGCUGGAUGCGGAUGUGAUGCAUGUCGUGUCCGGCGUCGUCCUACCGUCGCCACUGCCCGGGACACAUCAGGUGGCAAGCUUUUGUUGGCCAAGGAGGCACCGAUGUGCGGGGACACGUGUGCCGGUGGACAAGGCGCUGGCGGCGGCCAGCAAGGACAGGUCCUCUCGUCUUGUAUAGGCCUGAGGCUGCGCACAACCUCCUACCCGGCACGCUCCGGCCGUGUGUCCCCCUGCGUUAGUGACGACUGAUCGACAGGCUCAAUGGUACGUACGUGCAGAUGUGCUUAUUGAUGUUCCUGAUGCCUCUAGUCCUCCAUUUGCGUAAGGAGAUUUUUUCACGUUAGGUUUGAUUCAUGUCAAUUGUUGUUGCAGAAACCCUUGAGCAGAAUCUAAGCCUGGCAAAGACCGGGUUUUCGCCGGCUGAUCGGCUGCCUCCAUGGACUAGCCGAAUCGUCGUAGUCGUCUGACUUCAGGCGCUGAACGAUCUGGGACACCAAGGCCUACAGCCCUACACUUCAGGGAAGCUCAGUCAUGUCAUCAUGGUAAAGAUUUUCAACUUAAUCCUACCCAAAAGGAAGCGAGGCCUUUUUCGUGUCAGUCUACCUUGAACUUGACAAGAACAACUUCAUUAAAAUAUAGUAACACCAUAAUGUUCCGGAGGAAACAAAUAAAGUUGCGCUGCCUCUGUAGAGAAUUCCUUCUCUAAUAUAAGUAUACUACAAUGCUGGACGCACUUCAGGUUGCAAUACAUCAUUGAUCAGCGAUUCACAGGUCGCAAGGAGCUUUUUGGCUGCAGUGGAGAAUGCUUGUGCCCCGAUCUCAACAUGCAAGUGUAUUAUUUGAUUAAUUAGUCAGCAUGAGUACACUUAUCAGCACCAGUUGCUUAAGAAACACGAAAUUGGGAUGAAGGGUUCGAUUUCCGUACAUCACAAAGUAGCUGCAGUAUCCUUUGUGUUAAAACAUUAAUAUUUACUCCCUCUGUAAACUAUUAUAAAAGCGUUUAGAUUAUUAAGAUAAUGAUCUAAAUUCUCUUAUAUUAGUUUAUGGAGGGAGUACUGAGCUAUAAAUCAUUUAUGUUUUACUAGAACAGACCAUCCAGUGCGAUCGAAGAAAAGUCAAUGAUGAGGUGCAAGAAGUGAAAUAUCUUAUGAUUGAUAGAUUUCUAAGUGAUAGUUCUUCUGAAAGCCAGUAUGACCACGUAAGUUCUCAUACAUUGAUUAUAUAUGCUACGCACUAAAUAUUGUGCCAAUUUAUUUAUAAGGACUAACUUUUAUGAACUAAACAUUUUGUAGGACUGACGGUCCAUCAUAAUAUAUAGAAGCAACAAGGGCAUUGUAAUCGCUGAUGAAGAAUGAUGUCCAUUCAAACAAUGACGGCGUCCCUCGAUUGAAGAUUAAUAAAUUCUCAUUUCUUAGAUAGAUAUGCGCAAGUACAUUAUUCAUAUAAGGAGUGCUUUUGACUCAAAUUUAUUAAAUGAUAUUUUAAUUUCAGAAUUGUAUGUCAAAAUUUUGGUAUUUCUAUUAAUAAAAGAGGUUGCGAUCA
rnacentral:lncRNA from 1 species